CAGCUCCAAAGGAGGACGUUGAUGUUGGAAAAGGCUUCAGCAACUGGAAUGAAGUCGGGCACCUGGAGACAUCCGAGAUCCCUGCUUUUCAGUUCUUCCACAUAUGCAUUCCCUGCUCCAAGAGGAUGGAGGCUUCAGCCACUCACUUUUGGACAGAAGACCCCAAAAGUUGGGUUCACCUCAACACCAAGAACUUUGCUCCACCACUCCACAAUAAAUGGAGUUGUGAUUAAAAAAUUCCAUGUGGAA